rnacentral:rRNA from 1 species
GAUGAACGCUGGCGGCGUGCCUAAUACAUGCAAGUCGAGCGAACAGAUGAGGAGCUUGCUCCUCUGACGUUAGCGGCGGACGGGUGAGUCACACGUGGAUAACCUACCUAUAAGACUGGGAUAACUUCGGGAAACCGGAGCUAAUACCGGAUAAUAUAUUGAACCGCAUGGUUCAGUAGUGAAAGACGGUUUUGCUGUCACUUAUAGAUGGAUCCGCGCCGCAUUAGCUAGUUGGUAAGGUAACGGCUUACCAAGGCAACUAUGCGUAGCCGACCUGAGAGGGUGAUCGGCCACACUGGAACUGAGACACGGUCCAGACUCCUACGGGAGGCAGCAGUAUGGAACCUUCCGCAAUGGGCGAAAGCCUGACGGAGCAACGCCGCGUGAGUGAUGAAGGUCUUCGGAUCGUAAAACUCUGUUAUUAGGGAAGAACAAAUGUGUAAGUAACUAUGCACGUCUUGACGGUACCUAAUCAGAAAGCCACGGCUAACUACGUG